UGCAUACUCCCUCCGUCCGAAAAUACUUGUCAUCAAAAUGAAUAAAAAGGGAUGUAUCUAGAACUAAAAUAUAUCUAGAUACAUCUCCUUUUAUUCAUUUUGAUGGCAAGUAUUUCCGGACGGAGGGAGUAUUUG
rnacentral:pre_miRNA from 1 species